rnacentral:rRNA from 1 species
AGUCGAGCGGAGAGAGGUAGCUUGCUACUGAUCUUAGCGGCGGACGGGUGAGUAAUGCUUAGGAAUCUGCCUAUUAGUGGGGGACAACAUUUCGAAAGGAAUGCUAAUACCGCAUACGUCCUACGGGAGAAAGCAGGGGAUCUUCGGACCUUGCGCUAAUAGAUGAGCCUAAGUCGGAUUAGCUAGUUGGUGGGGUAAAGGCCUACCAAGGCGACGAUCUGUAGCGGGUCUGAGAGGAUGAUCCGCCACACUGGGACUGAGACACGGCCCAGACUCCUACGGGAGGCAGCAGUGGGGAAUAUUGGACAAUGGGCGGAAGCCUGAUCCAGCCAUGCCGCGUGUGUGAAGAAGGCCUUAUGGUUGUAAAGCACUUUAAGCGAGGAGGAGGCUACUUUAGUUAAUACCUAGAGAUAGUGGACGUUACUCGCAGAAUAAGCACCGGCUAACUCUGUGCCAGCAGCCGCGGUAAUACAGAGGGUGCAAGCGUUAAUCGGAUUUACUGGGCGUAAAGCGCGCGUAGGCGGCUAAUUAAGUCAAAUGUGAAAUCCCCGAGCUUAACUUGGGAAUUGCAUUCGAUACUGGUUAGCUAGAGUGUGGGAGAGGAUGGUAGAAUUCCAGGUGUAGCGGUGAAAUGCGUAGAGAUCUGGAGGAAUACCGAUGGCGAAGGCAGCCAUCUGGCCUAACACUGACGCUGAGGUGCGAAAGCAUGGGGAGCAAACAGGAUUAGAUACCCUGGUAGUCCAUGCCGUAAACGAUGUCUACUAGCCGUUGGGCCCUUUGAGGCUUUAGUGUCGCAGCUAACGCGAUAAGUAGACCGCCUGGGGAGUACGGUCGCAAGACUAAAACUCAAAUGAAUUGACGGGGGCCCGCACAAGCGGUGGAGCAUGUGGUUUAAUUUGAUGCAACGCGAAGAACCUUACCUGGCCUUGACAUAGUAAGAACUUUCCAGAGAUGGAUUGGUGCCUUCGGGAACUUACAUACGGUGCUGCAUGGCUGUCGUCAGCUUGUGUCGUGAGAUGUUGGGUUAAGUCCCGCAACGAGCGCAACCCUUUUCCUUAUUUGCCAGCGAGUAAUGUCGGGAACUUUAAGGAUAUUCCCAGUGACAAAUUGGAGGAAGGUGGGGACGACGUCAAGUCAUCAUGGCCCUUACGGCCAGGGCUACACACGUGCUACAAUGGUCGGUACAAAGGGUUGCUACCCAGCGAUAGGAUAAUAAUCUCAAAAAUCCGAUCGUAGUCCGGAUUGGAGUGUGCAACUCGACUCCAUGAAGUCGGAAUCGCUAGUAAUCCCGGAUCAGAAUGCCGCGGUGAAUACGUUCCCGGGCCUUGUACACACCGCCCGUCACACCAUGGGAGUUUGUUGCACCA